UGCUGCGGCUCCCUCCUUCACCUCCCUCCUCCUUCUUCUCUACUGCCCGGGAAUCGUCGUCUGACGCAGCUGCACCGAGGAGCCUGAGCCGGCGGAGAGGCUUUUGUCCCGGUACUUUCGACUCGAAUCUGAAAGCCUGAGAUCAUCUGUACUGCCUUAUCUUUAUUUGUGAGUUUACGGGCAACAGAUGUCAGAGAAUUGAUACUGCUCUUCAACAUUUCAACAUCGUGACAGAGAUCCUGAAGCUGCUCUACGGGAACCGGGACACCGUUGACAGAUCGCGCGCGGUGGAUCUCCUGAAAAGCCUUUUUAUAACCAUCCAGAUUCUUGAGUACGUCCUAUUUGUGAAGAUGAAGAAAAUGCAUACAGUAAUCAAAAUACACAAAACAUUUUGGCCGUAUAAUCACGAACAAAAACCUAACAAAACCCCCAGCCUGCAGCGAUGAGUCACUGUUCAGUAUUUGUGAGCUUGGAAAUUUGUAUCUGUCACAGUGGUAUGCAAUUUUAUCCUGUCAUGAAAGCUAGUCUUAAUAAAUGCUUUGCACAGAUCAGCUGAAAGCAUUUCAGUGACUGUGCUUACGUACUAAA